GUGCCAGCCGCCGCGGUAAUACGAAGGGUGCAAGCGUUAAUCGGAAUUACUGGGCGUAAAGCGCGCGUAGGUGGUUCAGUAAGUUGGAAGUGAAAUCCCCGGGCUCAACCUGGGAACUGCUUUCAAAACUGCUGAGCUAGAGUACGGUAGAGGGUGGUGGAAUUUCCUGUGUAGCGGUGAAAUGCGUAGAUAUAGGAAGGAACACCAGUGGCGAAGGCGACCACCUGGACUGAUACUGACACUGAGGUGCGAAAGCGUGGGGAGCAAACAGGAUUAGAAACCCCAGUAGUCC
rnacentral:rRNA from 1 species